UUUUCCCGGUAGCGUCGAACGAACGACAUAGCUUGCUAGUGGUCACGAGGGGGACGGGUGAGUAACGCGUAGGAAUCUACCUAGUAGGGGGGAUAGCCAAGGGAAUUUGGGUAAUACCGCAUACGAUCUAAGGAUGAAAGGGGGCCUCUCUUUGAAGCUCUCGCUAUUAAUGAGCCUGCGUAAAUUAGCUUGUGGGGGGUAAGGCCCMCCAAGGCGACAUUUUAGCUGGUCUGAAGGAUGAUCAGUCACACUGGAACUGAACACGGUCCAACUCCUACGGGAGGCAGCAGUCGGAAUAUUGGACAGGGGAAACCCUGAUCCACCAUGCCGCGGUGUGAAAAGGCCCUAGGGUUGUAAAGCAUUUUAGUAGUGAGGAAGGCUCAGUAGUUAAUACCUACUGGGAUUGACGUUAGCUACAAAAAAGCACCGGCUAAUUUCGUGCCAGCAGCCGCGGUAAUACGAAAGGUGCAAGCGUUAAUCGAAUUACUGGGCGUAAAGCGCGCGUAGGCGGCUUGGUAAGUUGGAUGUGAAAGCCCCGGGCUCAACCUGGGAACUGCAUCCAAAACUGCCUAGCUAGAGUAUGGUAGAGGAUGGCGGAAUUUCCUGUGUAGCGGUGAAAUGCGUAGAUAUAGGAAGGAACAUCAGUGGCGAAGGCGGCCAUCUGGACCAAUACUGACGCUGAGGUGCGAAAGCGUGGGGAGCAAACAGGAUUAGAUACCCUGGUAGUCCACGCCGUAAACGAUGAGAACUAGCCGUUGGAAUCUUGCAUGUUUAGUGGCGCACUAACGCGAUAAGUUCUCCGCCUGGGGAGUACGGCCGCAAGGUUAAAACUCAAAUGAAUUGACGGGGCCCGCACAAGCGGUGGAGCAUGUGGUUUAAUUCGACGCAACGCGAAGAACUUACCUACACUUGACAUCCUCGAACUUUCUAGAGAUAGAUGCCUUCGGCACCGAGUGACAGGCUGCAUGGCUGUCUCAGCUCGUGUCGUGAGAUUGGUCCGUACGAGCGCACUUAUUCAGCAGCGCCUCUAGGACUGCGAUGAAGAGCGUCAUCCCUUAGU
rnacentral:rRNA from 1 species